AUCAAACCCACAGAAUUCGAUCUAUGUUCUGAAUUUGAUAUGUUAUAGUCGAUUAAAUUGUAACGCCCUAAUAGUCCCAUAUCGGGUGAAAAACUGAUUUUGAUUACAAUAUUUGAGGUUUACACGCUAGAUAAAAAUUGGGCUUAAGUAUUUUGGGUCUGUGAUUUGACCUAACGAGUUAGUAUUAUUUGCUAGCGGGUAGGUUGUUACAAUUGGUAUUAGAGUUGAAUACCAGCCGAAAGUGUGAGAGCUAAAUGCUAUGCGGGGCAAAGUACUACACCAAUAAAUUUGGUGGGAGCCCGCUUAUGUGGGGCAAAGUGAAAGUGCUGCACUAACGGAUUUGAUGAGGGCCAUCUCUUGAACCCAUUGUAUCAAAGCUGAAUACCAGCUAUAAAUGUGAGAGCUAAAUGUUAUGCGGGGCAAAGUACUACACCAACGAAUUUGGUGGGAGCUACCUUUAGAAUCUCACAUCGUCUAAUAAUUUUGGUCAUAAUUUGUCUGUUUGUGAUUUCGUUUGGACCCGACAAGGACGUCCGUAGGAGUGAUAAUUUUGGUUCUGAUCUGUCUUUCUGUGAUUUAGUUUGGACCCGACGAGUACAUUAGAAUCUAAAUUGGAAAACUGAUUUUGAUUAGAAUAUAUAAGGCCUACACACUAGUAAUAAAAGCUGGGCUUAAAUAUUUUGGACCGGUGAUUUGGGCCCAACAAAUUAUUAUUGUUAGUGGGUCAAGUCGUUGCGUAAAUUCUCUAUUGAAUUUAACUUAUUAUUGAUUUGAUUUUGUAGAUGG
rnacentral:lncRNA from 1 species